rnacentral:rRNA from 1 species
UACGGAGGGUGCAAGCGUUAAUCGGAAUUACUGGGCGUAAAGCGCACGCAGGUGGCUAGGUAAGUUCGAUGUGAAAUCUCCGGGCUUAACCCGGAAAGUGCAUUGAAUACUAUCUAGCUUGAGGGUUGGAGGGGGGACUGGAAUUCUCGGUGUAGCAGUGAAAUGCGUAGAUAUCGAGAGGAACACCAGUGGCGAAGGCGAGUCCCUGGACAACUCCUGACACUGAGGCACGAAAGCUAGGGGAGCAAACAGG